rnacentral:rRNA from 1 species
AGAGUUUGAUCCUGGCUCAGAGCGAACGCUGGCGGCAGGCUUAACACAUGCAAGUCGAGCGGGCGUAGCAAUACGUCAGCGGCAGACGGGUGAGUAACGCGUGGGAACGUACCUUUUGGUUCGGAACAACACAGGGAAACUUGUGCUAAUACCGGAUAAGCCCUUACGGGGAAAGAUUUAUCGCCGAAAGAUCGGCCCGCGUCUGAUUAGCUAGUUGGUGAGGUAACGGCUCACCAAGGCGACGAUCAGUAGCUGGUCUGAGAGGAUGAUCAGCCACAUUGGGACUGAGACACGGCCCAAACUCCUACGGGAGGCAGCAGUGGGGAAUAUUGGACAAUGGGCGCAAGCCUGAUCCAGCCAUGCCGCGUGAGUGAUGAAGGCCCUAGGGUUGUAAAGCUCUUUUGUGCGGGAAGAUAAUGACGUACCGCAAGAA